GACGAACGCUGGCGGCGUGCUUAACACAUGCAAGUCGAACGGAAAGGCCCUACUUUCAGGGUACUCUAGUGUCGAACGGGUGUGUAACACGUGGGUGAUCUCCCCUUCACUUCCUGAUAAGCUUGGUGAACUGGGUCUAAUACCGUAUAUGAGCCAUCUUUAGUGUUGUGCUUGUACAGUUUUUUCGUUGUAGGAUGAGCUCGCGCGCUAUCAGCUUGUUUGUGGGUUAAUGUCCUACCAAGCCGGCGACGGGUAGACGGCCUGUGAGGGUGUACGGCCACACUGGGACUGAGAGACGGCGCAGAGUCCCACGGGAGGGAGAAGUGGGGAAUAUUGUACAAUGGGCGCAAGACUGAGGUAGAGAGGCGGCGUGGGAGAUGAAGGCCUUUGCGUUGUAAAAUCCUUUCGCUAGGGACAAAGAGCUUUUGUGACGGUACCUAGAGAAGAAGCACCGGCUAACUACGUG
rnacentral:rRNA from 1 species